UCAGCAGCCUCCAAGCUGGGCACUCCCGGAAAUGACACGGCCUCCCUUUUAAACAGUCAUUCCCUCAGUUUCUGCAGAUUAACAAGGCUCCAGUCUAAUGUCAGCACAAGAAAUUCACUGAGACAUCUACAUGCAUAAUUUUACCUGUCUACAGAACAAGAAAAAGAACAAUACCCCAAAUCACCACAAAUUUAGGUGAUAGUUCCCUCUGAGCAAUCAAACGAAGCCUGUUUGGAGGAUAGAAAUGUCAAGGCCCCAAAGGACAGUUGUCUUCUGGGGGAAAAGAAUCUCGGACAAUUACAGAUCUAAACAAAUUUUUUCAUAAGCUAAAGGAAAUUUAAUUUGUAUAUAAACAUCUUCAUAUCCUUUCACACCCAGACAAGCUCUCUGUUUUAAUCAUAGUAUGUCCCUAAUGAUCAUAUAGCAAAGCAAGGUCCAAAACCUCUCUUUAAGCUACAGAAGAGCUGUGAGAAUCAGUGGCAAAGCAACAGGAUCUCACUUCGGUGGAGGAAUAGGAGGCAGAGAGCACACACAUAAGCUGAGCAGCAGGGGAAAAAAAUAAAAAUAAAAGAGUGCUACAGCCAACCAACCAAAGGAAGCUCAAAAACACUGGGGUCUGGUCAAUUCUGAGCCUAAAACAAUUGCCUUGUGGUUCUCCACCCAGAAGGAAUUUGAGGGGCUGUAACAAUUGACAAUGCUGAAAUCAGAAUAGCUUAGCUGAAAUCAGUUGAUCUGGGCUGACUGAUACUGCAUGAGAGUCUAGCUUAUUGUUUUACAGAAAUGUGAGAUUAGUCAAGGAAUGCAUUUGAGUUACUCUGGAUUUAAAGUGUGAAGUAAGAAAGUAGCCCCAACAACUCCCCUGGCUACAGUAGAGCUUUCCAAACACUUCUGGCAAUAGUAUAAUACUCAAUAUAAUAUAACCCUGAGAAGCAUAAAAUAAAGACGUACUACUUUCUAAACUUCAAAUCGAAUAAAAUUCCAGAGGUAAUUAUUCUAUUUCUGCUGACUUUUCAAAACUACCAAAUAAUAAGUAUCAACACAUUUUGUGUUUGAUCACCGAGAGUGACAGAACUUUUUUUCCUGAUUAAGAAUGUAAAAACCUGACAAACAUUCCAAAACAUGUUUUCUAUCAUUAUGGUAAAAAAUUAUUAUAUUUGUACACCUUAAAUGCUUUUGUGGAGGAAUAUUUGGAAGAUUGGCACUACGUAUUUUGUUUCAAAAUCAGGAAUGAAAUUACAUAUUUCUAGGGAGUUUUGACACAUUUUUGAUUUUGAGUAAACAUUUUUUUUCUGGCUAACAGAGUGCUUGAUUAAUGUUACCUUUAAACCAUCAAAUCUUCAUAUAAAUCACCCGGUUAUUUUAAGAGACAACGGAAAAGUACUAAUUGAAAAGUGCAUAAGCUCUGUACUUUGAGUAGAACAAGACCAGAAGCACAGAGAAAUGUAUUAUUUGCCAAAGAAAACUGUCUAUAUAGCAGAAUAUUGGCACUUACUCCAUCGGGCUUAAGUGGGUACUCAUGUCCAGUCUGAAAACUGUGAGUCUUGGCAUUUAAUGAAUAAACAAUCAAUCCAA